rnacentral:rRNA from 1 species
CAUGCCGUAAACGAUGAGUGCUAAGUGUUAGGGGGUUUCCGCCCCUUAGUGCUGCAGCUAACGCAUUAAGCACUCCGCCUGGGAGUACGACCGCAAGGUUGAAACUCAAAGGAAUUGACGGGGGCCCGCACAAGCGGUGGAGCAUGUGGUUUAAUUCGAAGCAACGCGAAGAACCUUACCAGGUCUUGACAUCCCAGUGACCACUCUAGAGAUAGAGUUUUCCCUUCGGGGACAUUGGUGACAGGUGG